rnacentral:rRNA from 1 species
CAGUAGCCGCGGGAAAACGUAGGGUGCGAGCGUUAAUCGGAAUUACUGGGCGUAAAGCGUGCGCAGGCGGUUCGUUAAGACAGAUGUGAAAUCCCCGGGCUUAACCUGGGAACUGCAUUUGUGACUGGCGAGCUAGAGUAUGGCAGAGGGGGGUAGAAUUCCACGUGUAGCAGUGAAAUGCGUAGAGAUGUGGAGGAAUACCGAUGGCGAAGGCAGCCCCCUGGGCCAAUACUGACGCUCAUGCACGAAAGCGUGGGGAGCAAACAGGAUUAGAUACCCCUGUAGUCCCUGUCUCUUAUAC